GAUGAACGCUGGCGGCGUGCCUAAUACAUGCAAGUCGAGCGAACGGACGAGAAGCUUGCUUUUCUGAUGUUAGCGGCGGACGGGUGAGUAACACGUGGAUAACCUACCUAUAAGACUGGGAUAACUUCGGGAAACCGGAGCUAAUACCGGAUAAUAUUUUGAACCGCAUGGUUCAUAAGUGAAAGACGGUCUUGCUGUCACUUAUAGAUGGAUCCGCGCUGCAUUAGCUAGUUGGUAAGGUAACGGCUUACCAAGGCAACGAUGCAUAGCCGACCUGAGAGGGUGAUCGGCCACACUGGAACUGAGACACGGUCCAGACUCCUACGGGAGGCAGCAGUAGGGAAUCUUCCGCAAUGGGCGAAAGCCUGACGGAGCAACGCCGCGUGAGUGAUGAAGGUCUUCGGAUCGUAAAACUCUGUUAUUAGGGAAGAACAUAUGUGUAAGUAACUGUGCACAUCUUGACGGUACCUAAGCAGAAAGCCACGGCUAACUACGU
rnacentral:rRNA from 1 species